rnacentral:rRNA from 1 species
CCUACGGGAGGCAGCAGUGGGGAAUAUUGCAAAAUGGGGGAAACCCUGAUGCAGCGACGCCGCGUGAGUGAAGAAGUAAUUCGGUAUGUAAAGCUCUAUCAGCAGGGAAGAAAAGGACGGGACCUGAGUAAGAAGCCCCGGCUAACGACGUGCCAGCAGCCGCGGUAAGACUGAGGGGGCAAGCGUGAUCCGGAUUUACGGGGUGUAACGGGAGCGUAGACGGCAGUGCAAGUCUGGCUUGCAAGGCGGGCGCUCAACCCCCGGCCUGCUCUGGAAACUGUACGGCUGGAGUGCAGGAGAGGUAAGUGGCAUUCCUAGUGUAGCGGUGAAAUGCGUAGAUCUUAGCAGGCACCCCAGUGGCGAAGGCGGCUUACUGGACUGUAACUGACGUUGAGGCUCGAAAGCGUGGGGAGCAAACAGGAUUAGAUACCCGGGUAGUC